UACGAAGGGGGCUAGCGUUACUCGGAUUGACUGGGCGUAAAGGGCGCGUAGGCGGCUUGUACAGUCAGACGUGAAAUUCCUGGGCUCAACCUGGGGGCUGCGUUUGAUACGUGCGGGCUUGAGUUCGGAAGAGGGUCGUGGAAUUCCCAGUGUAGAGGUGAAAUUCGUAGAUAUUGGGAAGAACACCGGUGGCGAAGGCGGCGAGCUGGUCCAUUACUGACGCUGAGGCGCGACAGCGUGGGGAGCAAACAGG
rnacentral:rRNA from 1 species